CUUGCGAUAUGGGCUAAGAAGAUAACUACCGUGAAGAAAGAGAUCGAUCUCUCACCUCUAAACCUAGCGCCGCCAUGCCGCGACGCCUCCUCUGCCAAGCUCCUCUCCUUCCAAUCCCCCGACUCGCCAUCGUAGGUCCACCGCCCUGCGCUCGCCGGGCGCCAGCAGCAGCCCCGGGGACGCUGUCCUCCAGGCGGCGCCCCAGCCCCAGUACGCCCGUCCUCCAGGCGGCGGUCAGCCCCAGUACGCCCGUCCUCCAGGCGACGGCCCAUCAUCAGGAACACGGUGAUUUGGAGGCCACGAGGGAUCCUGCGAUCGAGCGCACAAGGCCUGGUCACUGGAUCUUUAGCAAUAGCUUGGCCAGUUCAUCUGUAGUAUGUCUCUACACUUCAUAUGGUUACAUGACAUCUACCAGACUAGAUUGAACUUCUGCAGUGCAUGUUUACCUCGAUGAGAAAAAACUUCUAUGUACGGAUUUUGAAGGCAGCAACCACUAGGAUAAACUAGAGACGCAGAGAAAACAAGGAGCUAUUGUUCCAUUAUCAGCAUGUAGAUACUACAAGUCAUAGAUGUUUCAACUAGUUUGUGAGACAUGUAAUUCUUUUAUAGACGAUGUGUACAAUUGAGUUUAUAAGCUACUACUGGCUCCUUCUCUCAGUAAUGGUAUAAAACAACAUUAUUAUUU